UCGGAGAUGAGGGCGGAAUUCUCGGUGUAGCGGUGAAAUGCGUAGAUAUCGAGAGGAACGCCGAUGGCGAAAGCAGCCCUCAAGACGAAAUCUGACCUGAAACACGAAGGCCAGGGGAGCAAACGGGAUUAGAUACCCCGGUAGUCCUGGCAGUAAACGGUGCUCAUUAGAUGUAGGCGGAUUCGACCCCGCCUGUGUCGAACCUAACGGAUUAAAUGAGCCGCCUGGGAAGUACGGUCGCAAGAUUAAAACUCAAAGAAAUUGACGGGGGCCCGCACAAGCGGUGGAGUAUGUGGCUUAAUUCGAUGCAACGCGAAGAACCUUACCUGGCCUUGACAUGCUUAGUUCAGGCGUAGAAACACGCUGGCCCGCAAGGGCGAUUUGCACAGGUGCUGCAUGGCUGUCGUCAGCUCGUGUCGUGAGAUGUUGGGUUAAGUCCCGCAACGAGCGCAACCCUCGUGGUUAGUUAUUCCCGGGAAACCGGAAUCUGACCAGACUGCCCUGUGAAACGGGGAGGAAGGUGGGGACGACGUCAAGUCCGUAUGGCCCUUACGGCCAGGGCUGCACACGUACUACAAUGCCCACUACAGAGGGACGCAAGACCGCAAGGUGGAGCCAAUCCCGAAAAGGUGGGCCCAGUUCGGAUUGGAGGCUGCAACUCGCCUCCAUGAAGUUGGAAUCGCUAGUAAUGGCGCAUCAGCUACGGCGCCGUGAAUACGUUCCCGGGCCUUGUACACACCGCCCGUCACAUCAUGAAAGCCGGUUACACCCAAAGUCGCCUUAUGGUGCCCAAGGUGUGGCUGGUGAUUGGGAUG
rnacentral:rRNA from 1 species